CAGUAGCCACGGUAAUACAGAGGGUGCGAGCGUUAAUCGGAUUUACUGGGCGUAAAGCGUGCGUAGGCGGCUAAUUGAGUCGGAUGUGAAAUCCCCGAGCUUAACUUGGGAAUUGCAUUCGAUACUGGUUAGCUAGAGUGUGGGAGAGGAUGGUAGAAUUCCAGGUGUAGCGGUGAAAUGCGUAGAGAUCUGGAGGAAUACCGAUGGCGAAGGCAGCCAUCUGGCCUAACACUGACGCUGAGGUACGAAAGCAUGGGGAGCAAACAGGAUUAGAUACCCCAGUAGUCCCUGUCUCUUAUAA
rnacentral:rRNA from 1 species